UGCCCCCGUAGCUCAGUAGGAAAGAGCGGCCCCAUGCUAAGGGGAGGGCCGACAGUUCGAACCUGUCCGGGGCAC
rnacentral:tRNA from 1 species